GCUGGUGUAGCUCAGUUGGUAGAGCACUUCAUUGGUAAUGAAGAGGCUCACGAGUUCGACUCUCGUCACCAGCUCCA
rnacentral:tRNA from 2 species